AAUUGGGCAUGAGACAGUAUGAGGGGUGGUCUCCUCCCUUAUCCCCACCAGAACUUUUUAAUGAAGAAUUGGAAUAUGACUUUGUUAAUAUAGUGGAAUAUAUUUGAGCUUGCAUCAUGGAUCCAGGAGAUAAUCAAUCAACUAAGAGCCAGGCACCUUUUUAAGUCCAGUAAGAAGAAACAUUUUUACAACCUGCUGUCUCUGAAGUCUGCUAUCUGAGAUUCCUCUCCACAAUAAAACUUGGUCUCCACAAUCCUUUAUCUUAACCUGAACAUUUUCUUUCUAUUGAUCCGAGGUCUUCAGAUAUACUCAACCAACUGUCAACCGGAAAAUGUGUAAAUUUGCCUAUAGCCCGGAAGCCGCCACUUUGAGUUGUUCUGCCUUUCGGACAAAUCCAUGUAUUUCUUAAAUGUAUUUCAUUGAUGUCUCAUGUCUCCCUAAAAUAUAUAAAACCAAGCUGUAACCCGACCACCUUGGCCUGAUCACAGGACCUCCCGAGGGCUGUGUCACAGGCCAUGGUCACUCAUAUUUGGCUCAGAAUAAAUCUCUUAAAAUA
ensembl:lncRNA novel transcript, antisense to ZNF138